UGGCAUAUGGAUUUACUCUUGUAUCAUCAACAAACAGUUUGUUUGUACAUCUACUCCUUUGGGUCUUGAGAACUCAAUCAUGAUGAAGUGUAUUCAAGUCUGUUUGUACCUUGCUUUGUGCUACUUCAGUUUUUAAUCAAAAACUUGCACUUUGUGCAUUGGUUCUUAAUAGUUCGGGCUUGACCUGAUGUUGGUCUUCACGAUGUUAAAAAUGGGAAGGGAAACUACUAGUAUGAUGUAACUUGGAUGACAAUUUUGUUUUGUUUUCUGUCCUAUUCAGAACUAGGAGUUGUCUUCCUACAUGAAAUUGUUCUCGAACGGCAUGGCACAAACAAAGUGGCUUUUGUGAUUGGUUUCAGAGUGGACUAGCGAAAUCCAGAAAAAAAAUGUUCGCGCUACUACGUGUACAUGCUGUUAGAUAAAAUGUUGGGUGGUCACUUAUUUCUUUCUGCUGGUCUGGGCCUGGCAACCUCGCAGGAUGAUCAUGGCACAAAGCUCAAGGAGGGUGUCUGCACCGUAGGGCAGCACAAGAUGCUGCAGUUUCGCACCGGACAGGCGGACAGUAGACCCGACUAGUCGCUGGCUCAGCAACCUGUCAAAAUGCUGGGACCAGGUGAGUGGUGACUGGUGGGACACGAAGUACCCCAGUUCUAACUCCUGCCAGGCUCUUGCAAAAGGCUACCAUUGUCCUGAAUGUGUUGGAUCUUCCCUGUUGAAUCCUUACCAUGACCAUGAGCAAUACUAUGUGAGCAGCUCAAGCUCACUAGUCCCAACAAACGAAAUUUUCUAAUUAGGUGUUUGACAGAAUGAAAUAUGUGGCUUCAAAGACUGUCACAUGGCCUUGGUUAUUUACAUUUUCAGUUUUUCACUACAUUCAGUGAAUAAAACAGAAAUCUAUCCACCUUCUCUUCGCCAUGAACAUAUCACUUCAGUCAAAUACCCUUUGUUCUUACUCAAUCUAUAGUUUCUUAUGAAGAAUAUAGGAGCACAAAACAUGCGAGCUAGGAGCAAUGAUUUUGUGAGAAAAUUUUAGGAGCCUUCCUGUUUAGAAUGUUCACGUUAAUUAAAGGUUAAGUAUUUACUACAUGCUUGACGAAUUGCAUGAAGAAGAUUGACAGAAAAUUAAUUAAAAAGGCUCGUGCUAUUUAUGUUAGCCAUAUUGUUUUCAUAUUUGACAAGCCAAUUAAGAGGGCAAACUAUGGCCGUACUGCCAUUCUAGAGCAUAUAUAUACUUUAUCACUGUCUCCUGCCAUAUCUUUACUGAAAUUUGAAUUUCUUGGGUAUCUUAGAAUGUCAGAUCUCCAAUGUGAAACACUUCCAGAUGCUAUCUCAUGCUGUUGGAACUUGCAGGCCCUUCAUAUCAUAGACUGUCGUGAGCUUUUGAGGUUUCCUGAGUGUAUUGGUAAGCUGAAGAAGCUGAGAAGUCUUGAUUUGUCGGGUGCUUGGAAGCUGGAAAGUUUACCCCAAUCAAUUUGUGAUUGUGAUAAAUCUCUGUAGCUUGUGCCUAGUUUCUUGUGUGGAGAUCAAAAUACUUCCAUCUAGGAUGCCUCAAAACUUGCAAAGCAUCAAUCUAAAUGCUUGCUCAAGAAUCACGCUACUUCCAGAUUCUGUUGUCCAGCUUGAAAUGCUCAAGAGUCUCAAUUUAUCAUUUUGUUCCGAUCUACAACACUUACCAAGCUCAUUUAAUUGGUAUAUGUUAUGUUCUCUUAAGGUCUCUAGCACUAAGAUUGCAAGGCUACCAGAUGGCAUUGUGAACUUACGGAGGCUUCAGGAACUGGACCUAAAAGGAUGUGAUGAGUUGUGUGGCAUGCCUGUGGGGAUAGGACAGUUAACUCAGCUUCAAAGGUUGACAUUGUUUGUUAUGGGAAAUGGUAGAGAAUAGGCAAGGAUGUCAGAGCUCUGUAAUCUAGUUAUGUUGAGCGGGGAUCUGGAGAUUAAAAACAGUAGGUACAUAAAGGAUUUGGAUGAUGAUGGAAAGUUGUACUUGACUGAAAACAAUGGUCUACCGCAAUCAAAAUUGUGGUGGCACUGAAGUGAUUGUGAGUUUGACAUGGGACAAGAGCUGGCUUUGCUUAACAAGCUUCAGCUACCAUCAGGAAUUAGAAAACUUUGCUUUCAUUGUUAUCCAGGUCAGCACUUUGCAA